UACGUAGGGAGCAAGCGUUGUUCGGAUUUACUGGGCGUAAAGGGCGCGUAGGCGGCGCGGUAAGUCACUUGUGAAAUCUCUGAGCUUAACUCAGAACGGCCAAGUGAUACUGCAGUGCUAGAGUGCGGAAGGGGCAAUCGGAAUUCUUGGUGUAGCGGUGAAAUGCGUAGAUAUCAAGAGGAACACCUGAGGUGAAGACGGGUUGCUAGGCUGACACUGACGCUGAGGCGCGAAAGCCAGGGGAGCAAACGGG
rnacentral:rRNA from 1 species